CCGGCUUCGCCAAUUGUCUACAUCGCCUCAAACUGCUGCUUUGUGAUUUCGUUGAAAUCUAUAUGAUUUUCAAAGAAUUAUUCUGUGACAUAGAGUAUCAUGACAGUUCUUAUGAACUAAGGGAAUAGCAUCUGUCCUUCAACAUGGAAAUACUGAUAACACCAACCUAAAUAUUUCAUAGAAAUAUUUCUUUUUUUUUGUUACAUUCAAACACACACGUUACAUGCAUACAUACAUACAUACAUACAUACAUACAUAUCUUCUGCUUUUCUCUAUCUUUUGUAUUCUUCUUCAAUAACCAUUCAGGCUGCCGUUUCACUGAUAAAAGAUAUAGAUUUUUAAUGUUGAUAGAAAUAAAGGACCACUCGAGUACAAGUACUAGUCUUGGUGUAAUUCAUACUGUUAGCCAGCCACCAUUAAAAUUUGUGGUCUUGUGCAUAUUGUAAGAAAUCACUAUAAAUUUGUGAAACUAGGAACUAUUCUUGACAGCAUUUUUAAACGUAGAAGAAAAAUGGUAAGUAGUUCUUUGUUCUAAUUUAAUCAUUUAAAAAAAAAACUAAACCAUCAAAGCUUACUGAUAUAAUAGUCAUCAUCUUCACUGUUGUCAUUGUGUUAACAUCCACUUUUCCAUGCUUGCAUGAGUUGGGCUGAAUUUGUCUACGACCGCAUGCCCUUCCUGUCACCAACCCUCACCUCUUUUCAAGCAGGGUAAUAUUUCCCCCAUGGUCAGAUAUGUUUCCAUGGAAGGCUGGAGAUGAACAACAUUGCGCAUAUGAAGAUAACUCAUAUAAAACUAUUACAUGAUGGUCAAGAUAAGGAUGUGGACACACACACACACACACACACACACACACACACACGUGUAUACAGGUUACAGGUUUAGUGAUGCAAAGGGAAAAAUAGAAUUCAAAGCAUGAGUGUGUGUAUAUAUAUAUAUAUAUAUUAUUAUUAUUAUUAAUAUUUAGCAGAAGCAACAAAGUGACUCAAGGGCCAAACCCAAGGCUAUACAGGAAGACACAUGCCCAAGGUACCAUGCAGUGGGACUGGACCUAGGACCAUGUGGUUGGGAAGUAAGCUUUUUACCACACAGCUACACCUAUGUUCAUAUUUAUAUUAAAAUUUCAAUUCACAUCUCAAAAGUGUGACAUGACUGCCAGUAAGUGAGUGUAAUUAUGUAUGCAAUUGUGUGCGUGUGUGUGUGUGUACACCUAACAGAUGUAGAUACAGAGUUUGCUUUGUUACCAUGUGGUUUGAACUUUUAUCUCAUCGGUACCUUGAGCAAAUAUCUUCUAUAAGACAGUUUCCAUCUAUGAAUUUCUUUCAUGAAAUACUGUGAGUGAAAUUGGUAGGUGGAAACUUUUUUGAAGUCUGCUGUAUAUGUAUAUAUUGUGAGGACCUCUUAGUCUUGUGAAAAGUAUGAAAUCUCUCUCAUGUUGGAGCCACAAAAACAUCCACUACCCUCUCCAAGAUGGUUGGUGAUAGGAAAUGGAAAGCAAAUGAGGCAAGGGCCCCAAACCCAUCUAAGUGAGCUGUAUCCCCACUGAAUAUGGACUGACUCAUUCGUGAUGACCUGUCCAGUCCAUGUCGGCAUAGAAAGCAGAUGUAUGAUGAUGAUGAUGAUGUCAGUAUGUGUAUGAGAAUGCUUGCAUUUCUCAAUUUGUAUGGAUAGUGCCGAUCUAUAAAUGGUGAUGUUUGUUGACAUUACUGUGACCACAGUUAUUCUUUGUGCUUGAAAACUGUAGGAUAGAAAAAAAAUCAGGUUUGUGAGAAGUAAUCAAUGCCUCAGUACUAUGUUUUUAUUCAUCCCAUACUAAUAUGGGGGGAAAAUGAAUUAAUGAAUGAACAUUUAUAAACUCUAAUGUAGGACAAAAAACAGAACAGCCUCUCUCACAUGUAUUUCAACUACAUACCUGUUGUAGAUAUGAGGUCCAAGUCUUGUGGGAGAGUUUGUAUAUGCAUCAUCAUGCAUAUGUAUAUAAAUGUUAACAUAUGUUUAUUAUUUUAAUGAGAGGGAGGAUAAGUUAAAAAGAUAGAGAAAGUGAAAAUUACUAGGAAUAGAAGCAGUAAAUAAAGAAGAGAUGGAAAGAGACAUCACCAACUUGCUAUCUCACAGAGCAAGAUUAAAAAUAUCAAUUACUUUGCAGUGAAUUAAAACUAGUUCUCUGAUUGAAUUGUGCCGUUGAAUUCUGCAUUGAUAAAAUUUAAAAACCACAUUUUGAUAAAAAUAUAUUAAAAUUUGAAUUUUCAAGAAUUUUCUAGGCAGUGUAGACUUUAAUAAUUGCUUUCUUUUAGUAAAAGUUAUAUACUUAUAACUAAUUAAUAAGCAGCUUUCUUUAUUAUAGUAUAGAUAUAAGCCAGUUCCAGAAUAGCAACAGAACACUUACUAAUGGACUGACUCAAUACUGAGAACAGAAUCAAAUUUAUUCAUAAAGUUGACUGGGACUUCAAGUUUCAUCUAUCAGUUUGUUCAGCAUGGUUGAACAAGCCAACAAUGAUUCUUGAAGUCCUAGUUAACUUGAUCUUCACAGGUAAUAUGUAUGUAUAUGUAUGUUUGCAAACAUAUUUUGUGUAUGUAUGUAUAUAUGUAUGUAUAACAGCUUAAUGUAUCAUGAAAUAAAAGUUAAUAUUAUUUUAUUAAUAUCUCCAGAUUUUUAAUAUUUAAAAAAAUGUACCAUUAAUUAAUUGAAAGACUUAAAGAAUUUCUUGUCUAAAAUAAAACGUUUAACAAAACAUUAUUACAGAAUAAAUCACACAGAACAUAUGUUAUAAUUAUGAUGUUAUGUUCAUCAUCAUCAUUUAACGUCUGCUUUCCAUGCUAGCAUGGGUUUGGACGAUUUGACUGAGGUCUGGCAAACCAGACUCCAAUCUGAUCUGGCAGAGUUUCUACAGCUGGAUGCCCUU